rnacentral:rRNA from 1 species
GAUUAAGUUAUUAAGGGCGCACGGUGGAUGCCUUGGCACUAGAAGCCGAUGAAGGACGUUACUAACGACGAUAUGCUUUGGGGAGCUGUAAGUAAGCUUUGAUCCAGAGAUUUCCGAAUGGGGAAACCCAGCAUGAGUUAUGUCAUGUUAUCGAUAUGUGAAUACAUAGCAUAUCAGAAGGCACACCCGGAGAACUGAAACAUCUUAGUACCCGGAGGAAGAGAAAGAAAAUUCGAUUCCCUUAGUAGCGGCGAGCGAAACGGGAAGAGCCCAAACCAACAAGCUUGCUUGUUGGGGUUGUAGGACACUCUAUACGGAGUUACAAAGGACGACAUUAGACGAAUCAUCUGGAAAGAUGAAUCAAAGAAGGUAAUAAUCCUGUAGUCGAAAAUGUUGUCUCUCUUGAGUGGAUCCUGAGUACGACGGAGCACGUGAAAUUCCGUCGGAAUCUGGGAGGACCAUCUCCUAAGGCUAAAUACUCUCUAGUGACCGAUAGUGAACCAGUACCGUGAGGGAAAGGUGAAAAGCACCCCGGAAGGGGAGUGAAAUAGAACCUGAAACCGUGUGCUUACAAGUAGUCAGAGCCCGUUAAUGGGUGAUGGCGUGCCUUUUGUAGAAUGAACCGGCGAGUUACGAUUUGAUGCAAGGUUAAGCAGUAAAUGUGGAGCCGUAGCGAAAGCGAGUCUGAAUAGGGCGUUUAGUAUUUGGUCGUAGACCCGAAACCAGGUGAUCUACCCUUGGUCAGGUUGAAGUUCAGGUAACACUGAAUGGAGGACCGAACCGACUUACGUUGAAAAGUGAGCGGAUGAACUGAGGGUAGCGGAGAAAUUCCAAUCGAACCUGGAGAUAGCUGGUUCUCUCCGAAAUAGCUUUAGGGCUAGCCUCAAGUGAUGAUUAUUGGAGGUAGAGCACUGUUUGGACGAGGGGCCCCUCUCGGGUUACCGAAUUCAGACAAACUCCGAAUGCCAAUUAAUUUAACUUGGGAGUCAGAACAUGGGUGAUAAGGUCCGUGUUCGAAAGGGAAACAGCCCAGACCACCAGCUAAGGUCCCAAAAUAUAUGUUAAGUGGAAAAGGAUGUGGCGUUGCCCAGACAACUAGGAUGUUGGCUUAGAAGCAGCCAUCAUUUAAAGAGUGCGUAAUAGCUCACUAGUCGAGUGACACUGCGCCGAAAAUGUACCGGGGCUAAACAUAUUACCGAAGCUGUGGAUUGUCCUUUGGACAAUGGUAGGAGAGCGUUCUAAGGGCGUUGAAGCAUGAUCGUAAGGACAUGUGGAGCGCUUAGAAGUGAGAAUGCCGGUGUGAGUAGCGAAAGACGGGUGAGAAUCCCGUCCACCGAUUGACUAAGGUUUCCAGAGGAAGGCUCGUCCGCUCUGGGUUAGUCGGGUCCUAAGCUGAGGCCGACAGGCGUAGGCGAUGGAUAACAGGUUGAUAUUCCUGUACCACCUAUAAUCGUUUUAAUCGAUGGGGGGACGCAGUAGGAUAGGC